UCCUCCACUAUUUCGUCCUCUCCUGCCGUGUACUAGUAGAGUUGCAGAGAGAGGUUAAUUGAUGUUAUAACUCAACCCUUCCUUGGUUCUUUAAAUCUUCUCAUACACCAUACCUGAAUCUAUCUAUAACUUCAUAUACUCCUCCUUCUUGAGCAGCAACAGUGGUUUACUGACCACAACAUCAUCUUCUCAUGCUUUUGCAAGUGCUUACAAUAUCUGCAUCUUCUUUUACGGAUUCAGUCGUACUUGAAGGGUUUUUAGGUAAGAAGAGAUUUUGGCAUAAGUAAUUGAUUUUGUCACAAUUUCAGAAUUUAAAACUUAGGGUUUCAUACAUUUGAUGGUAAAUUUAGGGGAUUUUCAAUGUAGUCCAACAAAAGUUUAAAUUUGAUUCAGUCGCCAUUACUAAGACUACCUCAAUCAUCUCCCGUCUCCACCAAGAAAACAGGUGAUUGAUACCGUAUACAUUGUUGCUCUGAUAUUUGUUUUAUUAACCUAAAAAAUUGAAUGUCUUAGAGAAAAGCAUGUUAACUCUUUUUAGUGUAUGUUACGAUAUAUGUGAAUGUUUAUACCGCGCAUACCAUGUAAAGUCUGUUAUAAAUUUCAGGUACAUUUUGUACACGUCCAUGAUGAUGAUUAUACCCUGUGGUUUUCAAAACAUAAUGAGACAAAGCAUAUAGUUCAAACAAUUUGCUGUUAUGAUAGUGGAUAGGGAUACAGACCUGUAUGUAAUUGAUCACUCUUGAAGGGGAAAACUGUCAGCUAGGCAAACUCAUCAUGUGUAUUGUAAAGGAUCCUACAGAAGUUGGACAAUGAGCUCUCGAACAAUAUUGUUGAUAAUUCCGGGUUUAGCCAGAAUUGGCAAGCUUGCGUAAACUGAUAUUCUGUCCACUUGGGAUAUGUAAAGGGAACAAAGUUGGCAGGAAAACUGAGGUUUGUUGUUAAAAUCAUUUAAUAAAGGUGUAAAACAAUUAGAGUUAGACAUAAGAAUAAUUGUUGCAUUACCAUUUAAGCAUCAUCAGACCAAGGAGAUUAGGUCCUUUCAAGAGUUCGAGAGGCACACGAGAAGUUUGAAUCAGAUAUGACAAAAUUAUGUGAAGAGCUUAAUGAUAGAACUCUUUUUUCACCUUGCCCUAUAUGUUUUUUUUUUCUUCUUCUUUCUUUGUAACUCUCUGAUGCAUGUUAGAUUAUGCGUUCAUGUAAUUUUUACACGUGUCUUAUGUGUUCUCCACUGCAUCCUUAAUGUAUGGAUGCAAAAGUUUUAUAUGGAGGUCUCGGAUUGGGUUUGUAUUAACCGUCCCAGUAUUUAGUGAGCGGGUCGUAGGAUCCUCCAAUGUCUUAGUGGAAAUUGCAUUUGGUGCAUUCUAUGGACUGGAGCAAUCCAAUUGAAUUUUACAGGUUGACUGCACCAGGUUCAGGAAAAGUAAGAGCAUUUACAAAAAUGCUAAUUAAAAUUUGUUUAUGACGACGGGUUUAUGCAGACGGGUUGGAGCUAUUAUGUCUAGAGAUGUUACUCUUACUUCAUCACAGCCAACAACUUAUGAUGUUUAGAGAUGCAUGCCAAACAGGUAGACUCAAGCUGGAUAAGUCGCCACAUUUCAGUUGGUCUCUCAUUGUUCAAGGUACCAAUUAUCUAAACCUCAUAUUUGUCUACUACUGUCGUCCGCCGUCAAAAUGGUUUCUGUGUGUUCUGCAAUUUACAUGAACAUUGAAGAUCUCAUAUCUCUACAUACAAGGCAUUUUUGCUCCCUAUGCCGGAUGGUUUCAAAUGUUACAGAAUUCACAAGAGGUAAUGUUUAAGAUUAUUAAAUGAGACAUACAAGGGUUCAAUCGUUAAUUAAUACAAGUUACGGAAGGGUUUGCUGUAACUGUGUUUAAGUGUGGUCCCUCAUUAGUAUCAACUUUGACAACAAAAGUUAAUGAAUCAUAAGUCCAAAUAAUCUAAAAUUAAUGUACAUGUUACGUUGAUCGGUGAUGCUGACUCCCACAGCUUUCUUGCAUAACAGGUAUUUCUCAAAUGUGUUUUAUCCUGUAGUUUGUGAACGAUGUUGUCUAUGUUAUCGCCUAAGUGACAUGGGAAGCGCUCUUAAAGAUGCAGUUCAAGCCCAAGUCAUUUCUCCCAUGUGAGCAAAGAUGUCAUAUAUACAAGCAGCUGCCUAUUUUGGACUUGGAAUGGAGCCAAGUUGUACUAAAAGAAGAUUUGACUACUGAAGCAAAAAAGAAUGCAUCUUCUUUCAAGUAGUAAUUAACCAGUGAAGCUUGGUAAAAUCUCUUCAUGUGGUGGUACCUAAGAAUUAUCAGGAAGUUUGAAGCGUAUCUUUGAAAGGUGACAUGUGUUUGAUUGACCAGUUGAACCUUCCAUGUGCAAAGCCUCGCUUUCAUCCCGCAAAGAAUGAACAAAGUGCCUACUUCAAGUUCUACAGAAAGGUUAAGCCUCUCGUGCUUAAUUCAAUUGACAUUCCUUGCAACAAAUUCUGUUUUACAAAUUUGGAGGAUCUACAAUGGAGGAUCGACAACACCUACCUCACCGAGAAAAAGACAGUAUGCCGGAGGAUUUUAAUAUUUGUUCCUUUCAGGGGUUGUAAACUUCGAUCCAGAUCAUGACAUCAAUUUGAGAUGAAGGGAAAAACUGUUCUAAGUUUAGCUGCAGGUCUAUCAGAGGCCAUUAAUGUGGCAAAAAGAUGCUACAUAAUGUGAUUUAAUGGCCGGUGCUUGCAGGUGAUAGUGGAUAUGUGGUACUUUUGCUGUUUGGAUACAAUAUAUGCAUCUGCCAAUUACUUCUAAACCCGUCGUCAUGUCUUGAAGUAUUGCACCUGUUUGCUUUGUCUGCUGGGUUCGGACUACAAUCGAAGAAAUCUUGAACUAUUUUUUCGUGAUGACAAUGAGUCGUAAAGCAUCUGAUCAGGGGCCAAUCUCAAGCAUGUGUAAAUAGCUUAGUCCCAAGAUAUUCAAGUGUCUACUCAUUAGUGAGUGAGUAACACAGCUUUUGCUAAGAGGUUGACCGUUAUUUAGAUAAGACAUGGUCCAGAUUUUUAACAUUUGCUUGACUACAAGCUCUUUCAAGGGGGUUGAGUCAACUUUCAGGAGUUCCACAAUCUGCUUUGUAAAUGAAGAAUUUCUAUUUGGGACUUUGUUUCCGAAGAUGACUGCUUACAUGUUAAUAAGUAAGCUGAAGGUCGAGGAUGAGUGCUAAAUCCAACUGACUUGAUUCGGGGUUCAUUCGGCGACUCAUGGUUUAGAUGGAAAAGCGAUGCAAGUACAACAAGCGUCAGGGGUACUUUGGAGUAUAUUCAUUAAAGAUGAUGAUUGGGGUGGACUCAUUAAAAGCUCUUGAUGACAGACCUUUGAAAAGGGAAGAUGGUCUACUAUUUUGUAUGGAUCAAUGUUUGCAUGUAAUACUCUCUUUCUCUACAGGUUCCAGGUCGCGGAAAGAAUGUUAUAUAUAAUACCAAAGAUAGAGAUAAGGAGACAUCUGAUAUGAGAGGUAGGAAACGUGCAGUAAGUAAGGACAAGGAAGUAAAGCAGGCAAUACUUUGCGCAGACAACAAAAUGAAGUACAUAGAGUCCAAUUUUGAAGAAUAUGCGACCGAUGAUUUUUGAAGAAAAAAAAUGAAUAAAUAAUGGAUUGUUUAGCUAUAUCUUUUUCUUCUAAAAAUAAGAUUCUUAGAAGGUUUGAUCACUCUAUUCAAUAUUAGCUUCUACAUUAAGGUUCAAUUACAUUUUUUUAUAUAUUUUUAAAAAAAUAAUAAUUUGGGUUAUUGUUCUACCA